ACUCCUACGGGAGGCAGCAGUGGGGAAUUUUGGACAAUGGGCGCAAGCCUGAUCCAGCAAUGCCGCGUGAGUGAAGAAGGCCUUCGGGUUGUAAAGCUCUUUCAGCCGGAACGAAACGGUUGCGGAUAAUACCCGUGACUAAUGACGGUACCGGAAGAAGAAGCACCGGCUAACUACGUGCCAGCAGCCGCGGUAU
rnacentral:rRNA from 1 species